CCCUACAAAGAGGGGAAAGCUGCAAACGAGGAGGUCGUUCAGGGCUUCCACUUCUAAUCAAUAUGCUUUGAUUUGGGGUUUCUAUUUUCCUUUUGCCCUAGAAUCGAUUGAAUUUGCUCUGUGUCGGUUCACUACUGGUUUUUCAUUGCAAUUUGGGUUUGUUGUGCACAAAUAGGAUAUGUCUACUGCAAAAUGCCCAGGCGGUGCUACUGUAAUUGGUUCCGCCAGUGCAGGAUUUAGUUAUGCUUCCUUCAUAGUUAGAUUGUAUGUUGUAUUCUUCAUUUCUAAAGUUUCCUUUUGGAAUUUUAUCCUUUCCCAGCAGCUGUAAAUGAGCCGGGGCCGCGGAAGUUUCGCAAAGGCCAUCGGUCACGUAGGAUGCAGGAGGAAGAGAUUCUGGCCACAAUCUUGGCUGAUCUCGUAGCACGAGGUUGGAAGUUGGACAAUGGCUUCCGACCGGGCUAUCGAAGACGCUAUCCGCGCGGAGUUCCCAAAGUCGGACCUCAAGGGCACUCCUCAUAUCACUUCUAAACUUCAAGCAUAGAAGAAAAGUUACAAUAGUCUGCGCAGAAUCUUGGGACGCACGGGAGUUGGACUCAAUCCCCACGGUGAUUACAAAAUUGACCGUGAUGAUGAACAAUGGGAGCAUAUUGUGGCGUCUUGGCCCUUCUGGGAGACCUGGAAGUGCAUUUUUGAUGGUGGGGCUGAGCAGCUCGACACAGCGGCUGAGGAAAUCCGCCCUCUAGAACCUGUCCGUAGUCAAUGCAACGAGAGCAAUUACCACCCGUCUUUGGAUGAUGUGCCGACUGAAGCUAACAGCCCAGUAGAGGAGCAGGCCUACUUGCCUGACCACGGGUUAGACAAUGAUGAGUGACAGACCCAUACUAUCAAAACUCGCUCCGUCAAGCGGAAGAAUGGUUCGAGCGAUGAUGCACUGAUGGAAUUUCUUGGCAAUCUCCAUGCCGAAACUAACUCCAGGUUUGAAGCCAUAUAUGCGAGGAUUGGGUAUGAGUUUGAUUUGGGCAAGGCGAGGCAAGCUGUGUUUGACAAGCUCGAGACUAUUGAUGGCCUCACCCUUGACGAGAGGUACGAGCUGUGCAAUAUACUCAGCGAUGAGUCGCAGCGCCUUGAGGUUUUUAUGGGGAUGCCUGCGAAUGCUCGACUCGGCUAUGUGAAGAUGUUACUGAAGCAGAAGAUGCAUGAAACUUGAGGAGCAGUUGGGUGGGCUUGUGUGGGGUUCUACUAUAUUUUGUAGUUAAAUUAAGCAGCUAAGUAUGGUGGUUAGUAUGUUUAAACUAUGUCGCAUUUUGUUGGACUAAGAUGGAAGUGGUGUAAAAUAUUUUGUAGCCUAGGAUGCUGCUGUAACUCCCCACACGUUUUGUGUAUGCCUCGUUUAAUGAAACACUUUAUUUUAUGCUUCUA